GAUGAAGAACGUAGCGAAAUGCGAAAAGUAAUGUGAAUUGCAGAAUUCAGUGAAUCAUCGAGUCUUUGAACGCACAUUGCGCCCCCUGGUAUUCCGGGGGGCAUGCCUGUCCGAGCGUCAUUGCUGCCCUCAAGCACGGCUUGUGUGUUGGGCCUCCGUCCUCCUCCCGGGGGACGGGCCCGAAAGGCAGCGGCGGCACCGCGUCCGGUCCUCGAGCGUAUGGGGCUUCGUCACCCGCUCUUGUAGGCCCGGCCGGCGCUUGCCGACACAUCAAUCUUUUUUCCAGGUUGACCUCGGAUCAGGUAGGGAUACCCGCUGAACUUAAGCAUAUCAAUAAGCGGAGGA
rnacentral:misc_RNA from 1 species